CACCUACUCCCUCCGUUCGGAAUUACUUGUUGCAGAAAUGGACGCAUUUAGACAUAUUUUAGUUCUAGAUACAUCCAUUUUCGAGACAAGUAAUUUCGAACGGAGGGAGUAUAUC
rfam:Triticum aestivum genome assembly, contig: Triticum_aestivum_CS42_TGACv1_scaffold_065107_1DL